CCUGGGAGGCGGGAGGGGGGUUGGGGCUUCUCAGCGCCGAUUCCGCGGGAAGGGCCCUGGGGCCUCACACUUCUAGUCGCGGGAGCUGCCGGUCUUACCCGGAGAGACGCUGCACGUGGAGCCCGCGCCGCUGCCGUUCUCAGCCGGCUCUGGAGUGCGGGCGGGGGUGACAGGGCCGAUUCCGGAGCGGCAUUGUAGAACAAACCUACGCACCAGCUGAAUGUGUAAGCCAGGCCAUAGACAUCAAUGAACCAAUAGGCAAUUUAAAGAAACUGCUAGAACCAAGACUACAGUGUUCUUUGGAUGCUCAUGAAAUUUGUCUGCAAGAUAUCCAGCUGGAUCCAGAACGAAGUUUAUUUGACCAAGGAGUAAAAACAGAUGGAACUGUACAGCUUAGUGUACAGGUAAUUUCUUACCAAGGAAUUGAACCAAAGUUAAACAUCCUUGAAAUUGUUAAACCUGCGGACACUGUUGAGGUUGUUAUUGAUCCAGAUGCCCACCAUGCUGAAUCAGAAGCACAUCUUGUUGAAGAAGCUCAAGUGAUAACUCUUGAUGGCACAAAACACAUCACAACCAUUUCAGAUGAAACUUCCGAACAAGUGACAAGAUGGGCUGCUGCACUGGAAGGCUAUAGGAAAGAACAAGAACGCCUUGGGAUACCCUAUGGUAAUGAAAUACAUAAUUUUAUAUUGGGUAGAAUAAUAGGAAUUAAGCUUGACAUAGAAGACACUGGGGUAAGUUAUAAUCUAUUUUACAUGUAGAGUUAUUAGGAUGAAUGUU
rnacentral:sRNA from 1 species